GUCAGGGUCUCAGAUAGAGACCAGAGAGGAGAGGAAGAAAAAGCUGCAAUGAAGAGGAGUUCUCCAUGAGGACAGAGAGUUACAGCAGAAGGCCAAGGCAAGACUGAAAUGGCAGUGUGAAAUGACCUGGGAAGAGAAUUUCAGCGAGGGCGUUAGGUCAGUUUGACCUGUGGGUGUGUCUUUGGAGAUUGUUUUUUAUUGUCCUCAUUGAUGCAGAAAGACGCAGCCCGCUGUCAUUGAUGCCAUUCCCUACAUUUGAGUCCUGAACCAUACCAGAGAGGAGAAGGUGGGCUGAAGCGUGAGCGUGCCUUCAGCUGCUUCUGAUUGCUCCCAGCUGUGUGCUGACCAGCUCUUCCUGGUUCCUUCCUUGCCUUCUCCACACUCACAGUGUGGCCUGGAACUGUGAGCUCAACAAAACUUUCCUGUGAAGCUGAUUUUGUCAAGGAGCGUACACUAAAGAUGCUUCUGCUGUCAGAAGUUGAGAAGAAACUCUGCCCUAACACCCAAGGCCAGGCCAAUGAUGCAGCGGUAUUAAUACACACACGGUAAAGAAGUUAAUAUGAAUUAGUAAAUACUGAAGAUGCAGAUUGAUAGACUCCAUCAAGACCUCCUUCUCAGGUUAGGGAGCAGCUGUGAGCGGAGUGCUUGCCUGGCAUGGAUGAGGCACUGGGUUCUAGCUCAAAUCUGGCAUGUAUGAAGCACUGGGUUCUAGCCCAAGCCUUGAGAAAAAAGAUCACCGUAGGAGAGCUACUUCUGGAUACCAUGACCUACUGUGGAGGCCGAGCCAUAACACGACUGAUCCAACUAUACCUAACUCUCCUGAGUACCACAAACUGUGUGUCUGAACUUUCUGUAAACUGAAGGUACAUAUGACAUUCUGUUUUGAAGAAAACAUUUAAUUCCUUCGUAGAGUUAGUUAUACACUUACUUCAAAGCAAAUCAUACAGUUGAGAUGACAAAUUGGGUAGUCAGCACUAGAGAAUUCCUUAAUUCACAGAGAACAGUUUAAAUGUCGGGUUCCCCAGAGCAGCUCUAGAAGGAUUCAAGUCCAUGUUGACCGUGUUGACCUGCUAAGCAACACAUCCCCGGAUUAUAGGUCUCUUUUCCCCCUUUGUCACUGCCCUUUCUCAUACCUCAUUUUACCUUUUCAAAUAUGCCAUUUCCACCUAAGUCUUUGUCUCAACCUAAGAAAAUAGUUCAACAGGAAACCCAUAUUUAACCACAAACCUUCAUAGUUUAUGGCCAGCCAGUAAAACUUGAAGCCUUUCAGAACAAAUUGCUUUCCCAUUGCAAAAUCCAAGAUUCCCGCUGUGCUCUGCUUUAUCGAUAAUUUACUAAAACUGGCAUAUAUAUCUUUACAUGGGCUGUUCACCCCUCAUAUAUAGCAAGGGUCCAGCCAAGUUCUGGUGCUGGUGUUUCAGGAAUCCAUUCCUAGCUCUGGCUAAAGCAGCUUUAAAGUUACCAAAGAGAAUAAUGUACAUUCCUAAUAUAUUAAACCAGUAAGCCCGGCCUCCAACUCUUUAAAAGAGGCAGAAAAAGGUGAAGAAAAAAGGAUAGCACAGUGGCCAACUCUUAGCAUCUUUGUUAGAGCCAGGAGCCCUCAUCAAUGGUAAGGCACUUCUCUCUCAGGCUUCUCUGAAGAGCCCACAACCAGGAGUCAGAAAUAGCCUCGACAGACAAUCUGAGAUUUGACUUGCAGUUAAUUUAACUUAAAUAAGCUAACAGCUUGACCUACUAUUCACAUUUAAAGUGUGCUUACUGCCCCCUUCCUGGCACAGGCACCAAUAGAUCCAGCAACUCUAGACAUUAAGGUAGAUAGAUCACCUGAGCACAAAAGUUCAAGGCCAGACUAGACAAAAUAGUAAGAGGGUCCCCUUAAAAUAAAGUUGAAAUACAACCCAAGGGUAAUAUCUGCUGUUAGGCACAAAAACAACUCAAUUUAAAUUUUUCAUAUUUUGAAGUAUUUGAGAGCAAUUGUGGCUUAUAUGAGAUUAAAAAAGUUGAGUGUGGAAGGUAUUUGCUUGCAUGUUCUAGUUUCCUUUCUGUUGCUGUGAAAUAGCAUUCUGUGUAAACACAACUCAGGAAAGGAAAUGUUUUCUUUCAGCUUACAAGUUACAAUCUAUCAUUGAAGAAAGUCAGGACAGGAACUCGCCACCCUUCCAGGCUUGUAUCCUAAGUAAGUAAGCAUUUACCAUCUGCACAAUGGCCUGGUUUUGAAGAGAAAGUCAUAUCAUCUUCCAGAAAACACUCUGUAGGCCAGAGCCAGGGCCAUCUUGAGAAGGAACCUAUGAUUCUAGUUUGGACAGCUCCAGGCACCAGAAACAUGUGUCCUUUUAUAUCUUCAAUUCCACAGAAACUUCACUGUCCUGGCUCUGUGGGUACCACCUCAUAAACCAGACUGGGCUCAGGAGAGUGAGCAGUACAGACACUGGGGUGCAUGAAAAAGCUAGAUGGAUACCUGUGAUCUUACGACCAAAGUAAAGAUUACAAUAAUAUGAGAUAGUGUCACACAUGCAUUGUGAAAUAACAGGACCACUAAAGAUUAUCUCUUUAGGUGGGUUAGGGGUAGAGGGAAGAGAAAAAGGAGGAUAUGGAGAUGAGUUCAUUGGGACUAAGCAUAUAUAAAGAAGCAUUAUAGAAACCCACCAGUUUGUAAGAUAACUACAAAUAAAGUUUAAAACUAGGAGUUGGCACAGAGGUAGCCUGCAAGGGUGGAAAAUGAUGCUCCCAGAAGAUAUGGAUUAUUAAAUGAAAAUCUCAAUGCCGGACAUGUUAUUCAAGGAUUCCCCAGAGGCACCCAGGACACUGCAGCUUACCGCUAUUGCUCUUAGAUGCCAAAUAUAACUACAUGGUAAGACUCUAUUACCGAAGACACCAUACGCUUUACCGGCAGGACAUGCAGAAAUCAGUCUGAAACUAAGCAGGAAACUCCCUGCUGUCUUUCUUUCAGGGGCAUUACACAGGCUGCUGGGGAGGAAACACAUCAGAAGCCUCACCCCGCACUGGACCCUCCAUGUUUCAGUACUCAUGUACCCACUGGUGAAGCAGCACAACUGCUGUGUGGGAACAAACUGCUUUCUGACUGCAUUUGAGGCACAGGAAGUAAUUCGUACCCGCUAGUGUAAUUCUGGUCAAAACUCCUGGCUGGAGAUCACAGUCCUCCGCCCGGAGUAACUUGUUUUACUAAACGGUUAGUGCUAUCAAACUACCCUCUAAUUAUUUAUGCUCACACCAACUGUGCUGCUCUCAGCUUUGGUCAAAGGACCCCCCCCCCCCGUGGGCAGCCGUUAAUGCAGUGACAUGUAACUGCUCACCGUGGCGAGCAUGAGUGGAUGAGAGUCCUCAGCCACAGGAGGUGUGUCAGUCCCCUCUCUGUUUCUGUGAUAAAAUACCACAAUCUAGACAACUCACAGAAGAGAGAGUUUAUUUGGCCUAUGGUUCUAGAGGGUUGUGAUUCAUGAUGGAAGAAUGGAAGAAUGGAGGCAGGAACAGAAAGCUGUGUGUUCACAGUAAGCAUGAAUCUGUCAGAGAACUAGAAAUGGCAAGAGGUUUUCUUUCAAGUCCCAAAGCCCUCCUUCAUUAUGUUCUCAAGGCCAAACCCCUAAACCUCCCAAACAGCACCAUUAACUGGAGACCAAGUAUUCAGAUGUCCAAGACGAUGGAGGACAUACAUUCAAACCACCAUAGAUGAGAUAUCUUUAUCAGCUCUGCUUCCUACUCCCUCCUUAACUCAUAGGAUGUCGUCGAUGAGGAGGUAGUCGAUGAGGAGGUAGUCGAUGAGGAGGUAGAAAGAGCAUAAGAGCAGGAAAUGGAAAGAGCGCUGUGAAAUGCUGUCUCUGGGCAUGACAACCAUAACACACAUGAGCACACAUCAGCUGUGUUUCCUUGCACAAGAUCAAGCCUGUUAAAGCUCCAGCAUGAAUGAUAGAAGGGCUCCUGGGCUCUCAACCCCCAGCUAGGAACUGUCGCCAGUUGAUGGCUACUUGGGGGAGGGAGAGUCACUCUUGUUUGCAGCUGUGACCACUGGUAGGCUGGUCAGGUUCAUGCAGAUGGCCUCACACCCCACACAGAUAGAGUCAGUGGGAGGUGGUGUGUGUAUGUGUGUGUGUGUGUGUGUGUGUGUGUGUGUGUGGUCAGUGUGUGUGUGUGUGUGUGUGUGGUGUGGUCAGUGUGUGUGUGUGUGUGUGUGUGUGUGUGUGUGUGUGGUGUGGUCUGUGUGUGUGUGUGGUCUGUGUUUUUUAAGGGAGGACAUGAAGUUGAGAGAAAAAUGUGCUGCAGGCACUAGAGAAUGUUGAAGGGGAAGGUGGGGAAGGAUAUAAUCAAGAAACAUUUCUGUAUAUGAAAUUUCCAAAGAUUAAAAAAUUAAAAAGGGCUGUUUUAUAAAAACGGUAGAUAUUCAGUCCACCUAACCACCAGAUGGUCAAAUCUGAGUACAUGAACGCCAGAAGCACAGAAAAACAAAGGGAAAAAAAACAAAAAACACCUUCCAAACACAUCUCUUGGAUUCCAAACAUAUUGAAGUGGGUGAAAUGUUAAUAGGGAAUUCAAAGAAUGAUUUUAAAAGGUCAUUGAGAUCCAAGAGAAUGGAAAUGAAUGUUAAGUGAAAUCAAGAAAUAAAUAAAAACUCCUGCAAAGAAAAAAUUUGAAAAUGAACCAACAAAAACAUCUUAGAAGUGAAAAUCUCAAUAUGUCAAAUUAAAAAAUUUAGCUAAAAGUCUCAAAAAUAGAUUAGCUCAAGGGGGAAAAUCCAGAACUUGAAGACAGAUUUUUCAAAAUACGACAUGUAGAGCCUGCCAUGAUGCUGGGCCACAGAGCUACAGCCUCUUAAUUGUCUACUCUAGUGUCAAAAGUGCGUGCUAGGAAGAAGACCACUUCUUGCGGAAGCUGCGCAGCCAGACACAGGGAUGAAACUAGAGCUGUAUCUCUCACCCUGCACAAAAAUCAACACACAAUGGAUCAAAAACCUGUACAGACACACGAAUCUUUGAAACUGCCAGAGGCAAAAAGGCAAAAGGCUGUAAGCCAGGACUUUCUGAAACGUAUUCCAAAAGCAGUCCUAGGAGUUGACAAAUAGGAUCGUAAGAACUUAAAAACUUUUGCACAUCAAUGUUUCCUUUAGUGGAAACAAUCACCAGAAUAAGAGGCAGUGUUGGGAAAAUAUACGGAAAUGCAAACAUAAAAAAGAAAGAAAAUCCCCUAGCAGGCUAAUCAACCGACUAAACAGUUCUCAAAAGAGAAAAUACAAAUGUCCAAUACAUAUCAGAAAAACUAAAAAUUAAGAUCCCUUUGAGAUUUUCUCUAAAUUUGGUCACAAUGGUAAGGAUGUGGCCAAAGGGGCAGCUCUGACACGCAGCUGGUGGGAGUGUAAACUGACAGUUACUACGGAGUUCAAUAACGACAUUCUCAAAAAACUGAAGAAAAAAAAAAGACCCAUACAUAGCUCCAUGGCAUAAAGAGCCCAGAAGUAGACCAUGUGUCUAGAGCCCACUGAUUCUCAACAUGAGAACAUUUUGAAGCACAAACAGCAGUAUAUAAAAAGUGGAUCAUAUUGGAUGCACACGCCUGAAAAGCUGACCUUUAUCUCCCAUCAUGUAUGCAAACCAACUCUAAAUGGAUCAAAGACCUUGACGUGGAACUCUAUCAGGGCAACAAAUCCACAUUAGUAGGACCGUUAUUUUCUCAAGAGGACUUCAGAAGCACAGAAUCAGAAGGAAACACUGACAAAUGGCAUUGUGUCAGAGAGAUCUGCAGGUGGCAAAGGAAGCAAUCGACAGAAUGAAAGGCAAAUGACUGAACAGGCACAUCGCAAGACAAACUGGACAGCCACCAGUUGCACGAAGCAAGUGCUCCAUCAGAUAAACCACCAGAAAGGUAAACUGGAAGUCAGAACUCUAGCAAGAGGGCGCCAGAGCCUGGGGAGAGUGAUCGUUAUCAAAACAAAACAAAAAACUGUAAUAAUGAUAACAAAUUCGUGCAUGAUGUGGAGAAAAAUAGCUCAUCCACCACUGGCAGUAACUUAAGUUAGCAUAAUCAUUGUAGAAAGCAAUGUGGAUGUUACUCAAAAACUAUAGAACUCAAUGUGCUACAGCUCCUCCGUGCCUGGGCACAUUCUUGCGAGGCCACGUCAUGCUAUAAAGAGAUACAUGUAGUCUCAUAGUUACUGAAAUGCUGUAUGCAGUGGCUAAGUACGGAUCUGGCCUACGUGCUUAUCAGUUGGUGAGCUGGCGAAGAACACGAGGGAUAGAAACAGUCAAAUGUUGUUCAGCCACAAGACAGCAAAUCUUGUCAUGAACUAGAUACAGCAUUGUGUAAAGCAAAACAAGGCAGACUUGGGAAGAGAAGCGGCACAUUUUCUUGCAUACAUGGAAACUUUAAAAAAAAUCACCUUGAAAAUGAUUGCUAAGUAUUCAGGCAAGUGCCAAGGGAGUGGGAGUACUGUGAUUCUAGCGAGGGCGGGGGAUCGUGAUCAAGUGAGCUCUGUGGGUGCGUAGAAAAACCACCACGAAUCCAGUUAAUUUGCACAGAGGAUGUUAGCACUUUUUUCUUUUCUCUUUAUACAAAUCAUGUGUAAAGAACCCUCUCCAAGUAGUUCAAACCAUCAUGUUUGGCUCUUAAUUGUUGAUUUUAGUCCUUUUCUUUGGAAAGUGACAUAUCUUUGGUAAAUGGCUCAAAGGAGGGCAGUUGAAGGGUGAAGAGAAGGUAAAUCCUUGUCUGUGCUCACCAUUCUGAAGGUGUGUUUAUAACUAAAACUCUUGCAAGUAAAUGAAAACUCUAAAAAGCUCGUGGCAUACUUAAAUUUCCCACAUAGCUAGCAGCCUGACUUCAUUUCCCUUGCAGUGAUGUGUUGCUUAGCCAACAGGUAAACACAAGUGGGUGGGUACUUUGCUCAGAAUGAUUUCAGGCUGCUCUAACAUCUUUAUCGGGUCACAUGUGCAGUAAAAGUUUGUUCAGAAUGAUUUCAGGCUGCUCUAACAUCUUUAUCAGGUCACAUGUAAAGGUUUGCUACGUUCAAAGUCCCUCGACAUGUACAAUGCCCUCAAGCUGCACGUGGCACAGGUGGCAGCCAACUGCGCUUUCCACCUCUGUAGCUUCUCGAGACUUGCAUCUAUCAGUGAUGGAAUUUCUCCCCUUACAUCAGAAAAGUCUUUCCAGUGUUGGCUUUCUAUUGUCAGCCUGCAGCAUUGUUUCCCAAAAGGCUUAACGACGAAGGGAUGAAGUAAGAUGAGCGCAUCAGCAGUCUUGGUCUCUGUGUUGGGACAUGUGCUGAAGAAACCUCUUUACCGUCAUUCAUCCAGUCCCUUUUUUGCUUCGUUCUGGGGAUGUGUGGACAAGUAGUACAGGCCGAGAACCUGGUGACAGCAAGUCAUUUCAUUGCUUGAACACAUUACUGGACAACUGUGCUUUACCUCUCCCCGGGGCAUCCCAGAAAACUCUCCAGUCCAAGUUCCCUGGCACAUAGGAAUUUUAUGGCCCUUUAGUAAAGUUCAGCAUCAUUUAUGACAGUUCUAAGACAUGUUUGAUGCCUCUGGCCCUCCCACACCACAGUCAUUCUGGACUUGCUUAUUGUUCUAAACCUCUAAGCACAACAUCCCUCUCUUUGGUUCUCAUCCACAGUAGUAAGUCAGUUGCCAUCGCUGAUCCACAAAUUGCCCAUCCCUAUGGCAUCAGAUCCAGAUCACAUCUUUAUGUCGGAGCAAUCAGUGAGAGCGUGAGUGUCUCAGUGAAUUCCCCAGUGGAAGCCGGGAUACUGGGACCCAAUCUGCUUCUUUCCCUUUGAGAGUUCUUUGGCACACUGUGAGUGUGCUUCGAUGCCUUGUGAGCUUUAUUAGUGGUUUUGCCCUGAGCAAUUUUCCAUGGGGUUAGUGAGACGUGGAAUCUGUUGAUGUUCUCUGAAGACAUGCUGGAGUAAACACACAUACACAGAAUAUGAUUUUUGAGGAUAGAUUUAUUGAGUGCUUGGCAUUUGCUCCGUGAGAACUAGAAAGCAUUCUUGAGAUCUGAAACCAGGUUGUGCGCAUUGAACACAUCUCUGCACAUCAUUCUAAGGAGGAUAAUGGCACUGCUUAUUAGUUCGGGUAUGAAUCUGACUGCAAGGUGGCUUUUCAUUCACUCUCUGUAUGUUGUUGUUUGAGUCAGGAUUAGAUACAGCAAUUUGCUGCUUAAAGCCUCACCUAUCUGUAAACAAACACACCUGAAUUUUGUUUACCUUUCCACAAAAAGAGUACACUAAGCAUUGCGAUGCUAGCCUUGUCUACAGAGUGAGUUCCAGGACAGCCAGGGCUACACAAGAAACCUGUCUUGGAAAAAAAUGCAGAGGCAGUGAGGUGGUUCAGCAGGUAAAGGCACUUGCCACUAAGUCUGACCUCAAGUUGCCUUCUGACCUCCACACAAAUGCUAUGGUUCUCUCUCUCUCUUUUUCCUCCUUCUCUCCCUCUCUCUCUCUCUCUCUCUCUCUCUCUCUCUCUCACACACACACACACACACACACACACACACACAUAAAGUAAAUAAUACAUUGUAAAGGACAUCACAAAUCACGUAUAUAUUUUUUGGAAGGACACACUAUUAAGUGAGAAAAUAUGAUUUAAUAAAGCUUCUCUAGCCUUCCAAGUGCCCCUGUUGAUUUUGAAUAUUUGAAACAAUAAAAGCAACAUAUGAAAAUAGUACUGAGCUGCUGUGUUCAUCAAUGUGGCCUAGAAAGACUAGAAAACAGAUUAUAAAUUGAUCCCAUAUCCCUAGUGUCCCAUCACUUAUGUUAGUUCAACCAUUGGUGUAUUUGUGGUCUCAUUCAA